UACGUAGGGUGCAAGCGUUAAUCGGAAUUACUGGGCGUAAAGCGUGCGCAGGCGGUUUUGUAAGUCUGUCGUGAAAUCCCCGGGCUCAACCUGGGAAUUGCGAUGGAGACUGCAAGGCUAGAAUCUGGCAGAGGGGGGUAGAAUUCCACGUGUAGCAGUGAAAUGCGUAGAGAUGUGGAGGAACACCGAUGGCGAAGGCAGCCCCCUGGGUCAAGAUUGACGCUCAUGCACGAAAGGCGUGGGGAGCAAACAGGAUUACG
rnacentral:rRNA from 1 species